CGGGGUGAGCAUAAAGAGCUCAGCAAGCGUCUAACAUAUCCAUGGCGAUAGGAGAAGUUCAAGCAGGCUUUGUAUCAAGAUACAAAAGUAGAAAUACAAGUGUUCAUUUGAAGUCAUCUCAUUUGAUAUAAAAUCACAAAGGUUUACUUCGUUCAAAAACAGGCAUUAGACAUAACAAUAGGAGAAAGGAAAUUGGAGCAUUUCAUUGGCAAAAGAAGCAUUUAGGCAUGUAUCAAAUGGCAUAUGAAGUAUUUAGGCGCAUAUCAAAGGCAUAAGAGUGUU
rnacentral:lncRNA from 1 species